rnacentral:lncRNA from 1 species
GACAAACAAAAAGUGCAAAAAGAGUUUCAUUGCCCAAAGGUAAAACUACAGGCUUAGAUUUUUCGUCAGAAGAUGACCAGCCUCUCGUUAAAAAACAAAGGACCAAAGAAAACAUCGAGAAGCCCUCAUCCUUGCCAAAAAUCGUGGAGCCUCAAACGUAAGUAACUAGCUUUGCACUAUUUCCUGUGUUUAUUUUACUCCUCUAGCACCAAUAAAUUUACCCUGCAAAUCGAAUCUGUUGGAUUUUAUUUUAAGUUGUCUCUGUUCAAAUAGAUACGUUUUAAGAGGAAAUGUCUCCGCAUCAGGAGUUUUUUUUUUAAAAAAAUCAUUUGCUGAAUAGUUUAGGACUCCCAACAUAUGAGCAAUGCAUGUUAUGUCACAACAAGUUUUAUGAUAAUCUGCAAUCAUCUGAACACAAUUCUGUGAUUUGCGCAAAUAAGCCAUUGCUCAGUUAUAAAUCCUUAACAAGUGCAAGAACUAACUAACCAACAGUGGCAUAAACUAACAAUAGAAUCGACUAAAUAGCAUGCAAGGAGGCAGUUGUUUUCAAGUAUGUUUAGCCUCCGAAGUUUAUUCACUUGAUGACUUUCUUAUCCAUUAAUGACUACAUCGUUCUUUGAUUUGCAGAUCAUCUCGAUUGAGUAGAAAAACAAAACAGACCUCUUCAUCGCCUAUGAAAACUCAGGAGAAAGAUACUCGUGGCGCCAAAAAACCAUCUGCAGACUUGGAAAGUUCAAAGAAGAAAAGUCAAGUUGACGAGACUGCUGCGAAAACAAAAGAAAACCAAGAGAAGAACAAGAAAGGUAAACCAGAAGUUAUGACGGAGACUAAAGAAGAAAUUUCAAAGAAGAACCAAGCAAAGCCUGAAAGUAGCACCAAUGGAAAACCAAUAAAAGCGAAACCAAAACAAGCUGUGAUCGUGAAAAAGAACUCAGUGAUUGCCAACCGGACUUCUAAGGGAAAGCUUCUGCAAGCCAAAACUCGAUCUCAUGGCCGGCUCGCCUUACGUGCUUCAAGCCAGAGCAAAAAAGCCAAAACCACUUUGACACGUUCUUUGCGCUCUGAAAAAGACCUGAAAAAAUCGAAGCUUGAAAAUGUUCCUUCCACAUCAGAAACAAAAGCUCCUAACCUUGUCUCAACUCGAAGCGGGAAGCUCCAAUCUCAGCAAAAUAAUCCUCAAAAGCAAACCGUCGAUAAGGUCACGAAAGUGAAAGAAGGGACAAACAGUGGUGAUAGAUCUGACAGCGUGAAAUUAUCAAUUUCUGCUGACAAUGUCUCAAAGAGUUCAAAGGAUGAAACAACUGAAAAGGCAAAACAGGCUGUCAAGAAAGAGAGGACUGUCAUCGAGAAGGCAAAAGACUCAAUUCAAGGGCCUGCAAAACUUUCUGAAAAAUCAAAUCCAGUCAUUCAUAAUACUCGGCGGAAUAGUGUGCCAAGUGUUUCCCCUCCUCCUCAAGUCCAUAAAAAUAAGAGCAAACCAAUAAAUCUUCCACCAGAAGGCGCAAGUGCAAGUGCUGUCAGGUCUUCUGCAAGUAUAUCUGACGAAAAGAAAGAGCCAGUCAAAAAAGGUCAAGUCAAAACAAACCAGACCCUGAUCAAGGAAAGACCUGAGCCCGCCAAGAAAACGAAGACCGAAGUCAAGGUUCCAACUCCAAAGAGCAGCAAUGACUCGCAUGACCAUCCAUCAAAUGACAAAGCUGGGAAGAAAAAACUCAGUAAGUCAGAAAAUUCCAAAGAAUCUGCCCAAAAAGACCAAAAUUCUUUUGCUGUUUCUUUAAGAUCUGGAGAAAAGAAACUUUCAGUUUCCUCUGAUGAGGAAAUUUUCUCUAAAUUAUCAGCAUUAAAGAAUGUCAGUAGAAAAAGUAGUGAGGAAUCAAAAGAAACUGAAAGCAAGUCUGCUGUUGAAUUUUUGUCAAAACCUAGUAAAGUGUUGAACACAGCAGCAUCAAAAGCUGGUAAAUCAAAGGAUUCUCAAGAUUUAUCAGAAAGCGAAACGGAAGAACCUGAAGCUUCAAAACUCAAAACCAAUAACAAAAACAAAGCAAAAUCUUCAGUGAAAACUGGUCCUAAAAAUCAAAUACAGCACUUGACACUAGUAGUAGUGAAGACGAUAAAAUGGAAGACCUUCUGAAUCUAGCAGCGUUAAAAACAAAUCUAAACAAGAAGUCGAAUCUGUCAGCUAAAGACAAAGCAAAGAACAUCAAUGUGAGUAAAGCAUCUAAUCUUACGGCAAGCAAUGAGGGGAAGAACAUCAAUUUAAGUAAAAAGUCUAAUUUAGCCAACAAGGAUGCUGAAAAGAAAAUGAAUUCAGUUAAAACCUCCAAUCUAUCAGGCGGGGAGGAAGCAAAGAACAUCAAUGUGAAUAAAAAAUUAAAUCUCUCCGUUAACAACAAAGAAACAAAUAUUGAUCGGAGUAAGAAAUCCAACGUCACUGCAAAUGAUAAAGAAACACACCAAAACAAAAUCGACAUUAAAGCACAGUUGAAUUCGUCAGGAAACAUUGAUGAAGAAAGUAUUUCCAGCACACCUCUUCCAAUUGUGAAGGAAAAUUCAGGGAAAUCAUCCAAGCCUGAUAAAAUUGAUUCUCACAAAAACUUGGCUGCCUAUUCAAUACUGUGCGAAAAAAGUGUACCUAAAGUUUCAAAUCUGCUGAAGCCAUUGCCUGAAUCAUUCAACACCACCGUAAUUGAUUCGAAAAAUCAAAAUUGUAGUCCUCCUACCGUGAAGAGGAACCAGAUCAGAAGCUCAAAGUCUGUAUCAGAGGCUUCCAAAAUUGAGAUACUUCCAAAGAGGAGAAUGUAACAGAUGAAGCUUCUUUAAAACUGGAGGAAGUAAAAGGUCGAAAGGCAGUUGUUGAGUCAACUGAAAAAGCUGCAAUCUCUGAAAGGAAAAAGAAAAAUCAGACAGGUGUCACAAAAAAGGUGAACAAUAAAGUAGAAGAUACUGAUU